GGGGAUUUAGCUCAAUGGUAGAGCACUUGCCUAGCAAGCGCAAGGCCCUGGGUUCGGUCCCCAGCUCCU
rnacentral:tRNA from 1 species